rnacentral:rRNA from 1 species
AUUGAACGCUGGCGGCAGGCCUAACACAUGCAAGUCGAGCGGAUGCAGGGAGCUUGCUCCUGGAUUCAGCGGCGGACGGGUGAGUAAUGCCUAGGAAUCUGCCUGGUAGUGGGGGAUAACGUCCGGAAACGGGCGCUAAUACCGCAUACGUCCUGAGGGAGAAAGUGGGGGAUCUUCGGACCUCACGCUAUCAGAUGAGCCUAGGUCGGAUUAGCUAGUUGGUGGGGUAAAGGCCUACCAAGGCGACGAUCCGUAACUGGUCUGAGAGGAUGAUCAGUCACACUGGAACUGAGACACGGUCCAGACUCCUACGGGAGGCAGCAGUGGGGAAUAUUGGACAAUGGGCGAAAGCCUGAUCCAGCCAUGCCGCGUGUGUGAAGAAGGUCUUCGGAUUGUAAAGCACUUUAAGUUGGGAGGAAGGGCAGUAAGUUAAUACCUUGCUGUUUUGACGUUACCAACAGAAUAAGCACCGGCUAACUUCGUG